rnacentral:rRNA from 1 species
CGGGGAAUAUUGCGCAAUGGGGGGAACCCUGACGCAGCCAUGCCGCGUGAAUGAAGAAGGCCUUCGGGUUGUAAAGUUCUUUCGGUAUUGAGGAAGGUUGAUGUGUUAAUAGCACAUCAAAUUGACGUUAAAUACAGAAGAAGCACCGGCUAACUCCGUGCCAGCAGCCGCGGUAAUACGGAGGGUGCGAGCGUUAAUCGGAAUAACUGGGCGUAAAGGGCACGCAGGCGGUUAUUUAAGUGAGGUGUGAAAGCCCCGGGCUUAACCUGGGAAUUGCAUUUCAGACUGGGUAACUAGAGUACUUUAGGGAGGGGUAGAAUUCCACGUGUAGCGGUGAAAUGCGUAGAGAUGUGGAGGAAUACCGAAGGCGAAGGCAGCCCCUUGGGAAUGUACUGACGCUCAUGUGCGAAAGCGUGGGGAGCAAACAGGAUUAGAUACCCUGGUAGUCCGCGCUGUAAACGCUGUCGAUUUGGGGGUUGGGGUUUAACUCUGGCGCCCGUAGCUAACGUGAUAAAUCGACCGCCUGGGGAGUACGGCCGCAAGGUUA